CGAUGACGAAGACAACGGCGACGAGUUUGAUAUGAUCGAUUUGGGGCCAAUCUUGGUCUGUAACCCAGUCCAUGAAAGAACAGCCGAGUGGACUGAUGAAAAUGAAUCCUUCCUCUGAG
rnacentral:misc_RNA from 1 species